CUCUCUCUCUCUCUCUCUCAUUUUUUUGAAAGCAUUGCUUUUUCUUGAAUUUAUUGGGUCAUUAUUAUUUAUUUGUACUAGGUGACUGCAAUGACCUGCUAGAUUUAGGGAUUUGAAAUCAUGGCAUGUUUACUAAUCCAUUAUUGGAUUAGGAGGAAUUGAAUUGAGGAGGAGUUUGAUUGAGGAGAAUUAGAUUCCAGAUUCCUAUUGAAGUUGUUUACUAAUUAUCAAUGUUUUUAAAGACAUGCCUUCGAGCGCGUUGGAGCGAGGAGGUAGGAAAUUGCCCGAGGCGGUCGGCUAUUUCAUGAGUUGCAUGUUUAGCGCUCGGAAGGCGUAAGGAGGCAUUGCAAGGUGUGGCCAGGCGAAGCGAGGCGAGUGUUGGUCGUGCCCGGUGGUUGUUUGAACCAACAAAUAACACUAAAGGUUUGUCCUACAUAUUGGUUUUGUAUGUGCUGUCGAAUAUGAAGACGUCUCCAGAGGCAACAUAAUCCAAAAGUGAAGUAGAGUCUCUCCAAAACAAGCGAGUGUAGCUUCAGUGUCGCCGUCUAAUAAUAUUUCCCUACGUGAUGCAUCCAACUUCUUCCUUCAUGAUUCAAGUCAUCAGCUCAUGCAUUGAUGGAGGCUUAAAUCCUACACCAUAUGCAGCAAUCCCUUCCAUCAUAGGUAGCCAAAAUGGAUCAUUUACAAUAUUAAAUAGGAGUGCUCUAGAGAAGAAAAAACGACCAAUCAUUCGACAAACUUCCUUUCUUUCUUCUUGUUUAUAUGUUGAAUUUAAUGUAUUUUGCUGAGUUUUUAAAGUGAUAAAUCUAUCCAUUGGUCCUUUUGAUUUAGGUUGUGCUCUAAGAGCCUCAUUAACUGCAACACUCCUAGUACCGAGGAUUCCAUAUUAUUUAUCCAAUGAAGUUUCCAUAUUCUGAGCCUU